AUUCUUUUAGCAAUUACAAUUCUGAUGCUUUUGCAUGUAAAUAAGAGGAAGGGCCAUACAUUUACGUUGCAUCCUUAUUUUUCGAAGAAGUUUUACUAAUAACAUUUGCUGGAGGAGCUUUUGCCUAGUCAUAGCUUACAUAUCAAAGAGAAGUUUGUUGAUCUCACAUCAAAAAUCUGAAGGAAGCGUCAAUUCCCCAAUAGAGUAAUCAUACUCUAUCUCCCCUAACAAAGUGAGAUCCAAAUUAUUAACACACUACCUUUCUCUAAAUACUAAAUUUAAACUUAUCAAACUUAACCAAUGUAAAAACACACAUCUUAGACUGAAAUGAACUUAAAAAUCCAACAAAGUAAGAAAUUAGUAAAUUAAAUGUCAGAACAUAUCACAUCAAACUUGAACAAGAACCCUUGCAUAAAAUCGAAAAAACUUUCUUUCUUUCCUAGUUACAGUAAAUUGGGUCUCAAAACUUUAUCAAAAAGUAAAAAUUACUGCUACUACUAUCACAGCUACUAAAAGACAGUAAAAAGUAAAGAAAGGAUUAAAAUAAGUACCUGGGGGCUAAUGGGUAAAAAACUUGUAAAGAAAGAAGAAUAGAAAGAGGAAGAAGAUGAGAAGGAAGACAUAAUCAAGAAACAAGAAGAAUUUAGUUGACCCGUGAUUUCUUUUUCGGGUUUUUAUAUUUUUCUUGGAUGGUUCAUAUUCAUCAUCACCGUUGUAUGCUUCAAUUUUCGCCAUUCUGAUUCCGAUUUGCUCGCUGCAAAUCUGGCAGAUCUUCUUUUGCGCUGCUGGGCAGUGGGCACUACCGGUGGAGAAUAAUGUGGUGGGCUGGGCCCAUUCGUCACUUUGCUUUGUGGGCUCUUUGACGCCCACUUCAAGGAACAAAGCAAUCCGAUAUUUCAACAUUGUUUUAUGUUUUAAGAAUUUAUAUUUUAUAUUUCAUUUAUAUUAAUUAAUUAAAAAACAUUUGCAUAUGUUUGAUGUUAAU
rnacentral:lncRNA from 1 species